rnacentral:rRNA from 1 species
ACGAACCGUCCAAACGUUAUUCGGAAUCACUGGGCUUAAAGGGCGCGUAGGCGGGCUGACAAGUCCGGGGUGAAAUCCUCCAGCUUAACUGGAGAACGGCCUCGGAUACUGUUGGUCUCGAGGAAGAUAGGGGCAUGCGGAACUGGUGGUGGAGCGGUGAAAUGCGUUGAUAUCACUAGGAACUCCGGUGGCGAAGGCGGCAUGCUGGAUCUUUUCUGACGCUGAGGCGCGAAAGCCAGGGGAGCGAACGGGAUUAGAUACCCCGGUAGUCCUGGCCCUAAACGUUGGGUACUAGGUAGUAGACUAAACAUGGGUUUACUUCCGAAGCAAAAGUGCUAAGUACCCCGCCUGGGGAGUAUGGUCGCAAGGCUG